AAAAGAAGUUAAAAUAAACAAGCUGUUAACUUGAGUUGUUGAGUUGUUGACUUGUAAUUGGUGUUGUCUAGAUGGAAGGUCACGGAAAACUCUAGUAAUAGCAAUGGAGUGUCCGUUCCAAAGAAAGUCCUUCAGGUGGAAGAGGCGGCUGGGGAUUGUGGAAUUACCAAAAAUGAGAAGAACCUGUUUUGCAUUAGGGCAGCUUGGUAAAAAAUGAUGGUCUUGGAGGUCCAUGCUGGAGCUGUAAUAAAUGGGACAGACAUUUUUAUGGUCUUUUUGUUUCUCCAUCUGCUGUGGUCCUGGUGUUGAAAUUGAAGCAGAAUCUGGUUCUUUUGGAGGACCCGUCUACAUCUUUUCUCAGCUACUAGAUCAAGCAGGCCAUUCCAUCAAUUUCCCAGUUAUCGUGCUUUCAGAGGGUCAACAUUGGUGGCACUGGAGGUAGGCACCAUGCCAGAAUCUCCCUACUGGCCAUUCUCAGGGUCUUCAGGACUGAGAAAUGGGAGCUGCAAAUCCCAGCAUAACUAGUGGUGACGAAUGCUGGGGAGUGCAUCUGGAGCAUCUGGAGAUCCUUUGCUUUAGUUGUGUACUACAUAUAAUUUAAUGUACCUUGUAGAUGAAUUUAAAACACUGUUUUUUUUAAAAUCUUUUUAUUAGUUCUGCUUUACUUAUUUUAGUUUGACAUUUUAUUGAAAAUUAUUGACUGAUUGCAUUGUCUGCUUUUGAAGUGGCCUUCUGUCCACAGAAGCUUAUGUCAAAUAAAUAUGUUGG
rnacentral:lncRNA from 11 species